AGAUUGAACGCUGGCGGCAUGCCUUACACAUGCAAGUCGAACGGUAGAGUAGCAAUACUCGAGAGUGGCGAACGGGUGAGUAAUAUAUCGGAACGUGCCCAAUCGUGGGGGAUAACGUAGAGAAAUUUACGCUAAUACCGCAUACGAUCUAAGGAUGAAAGCGGGGGACUCGCAAGAGCCUCGCGCGAUUGGAGCGGCUGAUAUCAGAUUAGGUUGUUGGUGAGGUAAAAGCUCACCAAGCCGACGAUCUGUAGCUGGUUUGAGAGAACGACCAGCCACACUGGGUCUGAGACACGGCCCAGACUCCUACGGGAGGCAGCAGUGGGGAAUUUUGGACAAUGGGCGAAAGCCUGAUCCAGCAAUGCCGCGUGCAGGAAGAAGGCCUUCGGGUUGUAAACUGCUUUUGUACGGAACGAAACGGUCCGCCUUAAUACGGUGGCUAAUGACGGUACCGUAAGAAUAAGCAACCGGCUAACUACGUGCCAGUAGCCGCGGUAAUCUA
rnacentral:rRNA from 1 species